CAGUCUCUUGAUCUCCAAAGCAGGGAUGAUGAUAGAAUAGUAGGCUUGUUGUGAGGAUUAAAGGAAGAAUCCAGAAAAGCAGUUUACAAUAGUGUCUGGACCAAACUAAGCACUGGAUAUGUGUUAAGUACAAUUACGUGAGUCAUGUUUGCCAUACGCCCUCUGCACGCUGCCUGACUAAUCCUCCAGUACUUAUCCCCAUGGGUUAGCUGUACUCUGGCCCUCAAAUUCCAGGUCUCUGAUGGGAUUGGGCCUUGGAUGGGCGCCAGCACACAUGUACAUUUGCUAGCCUUUUACUCAAGACUGAACCCUUUCUUUUCCUUAGGCAUCAUUUGAGACCCUGCCUCCUGUUUGACUUCAAGUGUCCCCUGAGGCUUAGAGCCAGCCUCUGGGUGCCAGCCCCAUCCUCCAGACUGGAAGCCCUCAGAUGCCCGUUUGUGGAACCCUGCCCCUGCUCCUCUCCUUGGGUAGUCCAGCAAUCACUCCUGCCACUGG
rnacentral:lncRNA from 1 species